AUGUGCCAGAGGAAGAAGGGCAAGAAGUCCUCCUACACAAAAUGGGGUCUUUGCAGAGGGGCAUGUUUCACAGGUACUGUCCAGGAUAAGGUAAGUUUUCUUUGUUGUUCAGAACAAGGGGUAGUUAAGCGAAUAAUAACCUUUCUAAUAAAUAGUGCUUGUGCAUACACAAAACAAUUUUCACACCUCUUUUGCUGGGUGAGAGUAAGAAGGAAUAUUUUUCUAUGGGCCAUGAAGCCCUUCAAUACUACUGUUAUGGGUAGCAGAAUGGAGCCUCAGUGGUAUCCAUUGCAGCAUUUCCUUCUUUGGCACCAUCAGGUAUUCAAAAGCUUUGACCUCAGUCCUGACAGCAGAGUAGGCCUCACUGCAUCCAGUGUAAGGACUUUGUCAGCUGGAAAACAAUUUCUGUCACCUCCUGAUUUGUGCUUUGCUGAAACCAGCGCAUGCCACAUAACUGUUACUCCCAUUGCAGGUUUUGUUCACUUUUGUGCAUUUCUUAGACCUUGUGCUGGUCCACCAGGAAACACAUUAUAUCCACUGUCUCAGUACCCCUGCAUGCAUAAAAUAGGGUGGAAAUAAGUAUGUACUUAUUUUCUGGAAUCAUUAGAGACAGGGUUUCAGCUUCAAGAGUCUGUCCGCUAAAAUAUUUUAGCUCAAAGUCUUUGCUUAACAACCCAUAGUGCUCACAGCUGUGAAAUUCUCCCAUUGUCAAGUAUGUCUCUGAGCUUUUCUUAGGAAGAGCAGGCUUGAGGAUUCCAGCUGCUAGGAACAAAAGUGUUUGAAGAUUUAAUUAUUUGCUGUCAGAUUGUGCAUAGACUUGCUUAUUUACUUAGGGCAAAAUAUUAUAAUCAUUAAUCUCCAUUCAGCAGAUACUGUUGUUCUUAACAAAACUCCAGAAAAGCUUCAGCUGUGAGUUAGGCAUUGACAACAUCAAGUUCUGUUCUUAGAUAUCAGCUUCCCAGUUAAGAUAUGCCACAAACGCUGCCGUAAUCAAGACAGCUUUACCCUACGCAGGAACAGUGGCAAGUAUUUCACAACUUACUAUUAUUUAAACUCAGCUAACCUGAAGGAAUAAGAGCAAAGUUUUAAUAAAUAGUUAGCAAGCACAAAACUAUUACCA
rnacentral:lncRNA from 1 species